rnacentral:rRNA from 1 species
UACGAGAGGCCCAAACGUUAUUCGGAAUUACUGGGCUUAAAGAGUUCGUAGGCGGCGCAGAAAGUAGGGUGUGAAAGCCCUCGGCUCAACCGAGGAAUUGCGCUCUAAACUACUGUGCUUGAGGGACCUAGAGGUGAGCGGAACUGAUGGUGGAGCGGUGAAAUGCGUUGAUAUCAUCAGGAACACCGGAGGCGAAGGCGGCUCACUGGGGGUCUUCUGACGCUGAGGAACGAAAGCCAGGGGAGCAAACGGG